GGGCAGAUUCCCGAGUGGUCAAAGGGGGUGGAGUCAAGUUCCACUGCAUUCGCUUCGUCGGUUCGAAUCCGGCUCUGCUCA